UACAGAGGUCUCAAGCGUUGUUCGGAUUCAUUGGGCGUAAAGGGUGCGUAGGCGGCGCGGUAAGUCGGGUGUGAAAUUUCGAGGCUUAACUUCGAAACUGCAUUCGAUACUGCCGUGCUUGAGGACUGGAGAGGAGACUGGAAUUUACGGUGUAGCGGUGAAAUGCGUAGAUAUCGUAAGGAAGACCAGUGGCGAAGGCGACUCUCUGGUCUGUAACUGACGCUGAGGCGCGAAAGCGUGGGGAGCAAACAGG
rnacentral:rRNA from 1 species